GUGCAAGGAGGAGGGCACUCGUAUUGGAACACACCUCAGUUUAAAAACUCAUUAUAUUUUUUCUCAGGUAGUCUCCCGUCACAUUUUUCUUUCUACCCAUUACACAAAUUUGAACUUGUGAUGCUCCAAUGUGUAGAGGAAUUGGGUGAGUUCAUGGAACAGAUUGUCACCAGGAAUAUUAAAAUAACAUUCUCUCAUAACUUACUAUUUCAUGACAUUUCGGUGAAAUUUAAAAUGCUAUUAUGUAACAGGUGUGUUAUUGAUCACACAAAACUUUUGUCUAUUGUAUGGUGUGUACCUAUACAAGCAUGUAUAGGACAAGUCUGUUGGCUUACACAGACCUGGUUUUGAAUAAACAGUUUUCAAUCAGAG